CUCGUGGGAAUAGGUGAAAGCGACAGAGGCUGGAGACAAAGAUGAGAAGCAAUCCUUAACGCGCGAGCGUCUGCCCACCCCGCAGAGAGGAAAAUCAAAAAGCUGUCAGCACGGAGCGCGGUGCUGGGCGGGAGGCAGCGAGCAGCUGGGCGAUGGGAGUGCUCCAGAAGCUUGAAGCAGUGGUCAUGCCCAGGCCAUGGAGGAAGGCAGUGGAGGAAGGAUGAGGUGGCUCCAGGAAACAACACCACAAAGUUAGCAGUGUGAAGUGGAUGAUGAUGUGGUGUCAUUCCCAGAAAGUCUUCUGCUGUUGGUAUCUCGUGAUGCAUCUUGACAGUGUGAUGGCAUCCCACAGCUCUCUGUGCAUCUACAGCUAGCAGCAGGUAGUGGCUCUUGAUCACUCACCAGGUCAAAAAGAAGAAAGGUUACCCAACAUUCAUCAGCUGCAACAUGGAGUUUCAUUGCUAAUAAUUGUAAGUACCAACUUCUUUUUUUAGUGUCUCCAAAACGUUAAAAGUAAUCUUUUCUUUAAACAAAAAACAUCUUUAGAGCUGCCGUCUGAAAAGAUAGGAAAUGAGAUUAGCCUUGUCAUAAGCAUUUGUGGCUCAUCUUAUUUGCUAAAAAGGCGAUACUGGAGGAUCAGCUUUUUGAUACAAUACCUAACAUUUUGAUGCAGAUUGCCCAGGAUGUUGUUCCAAGCACUCACGCUGACAUUUCCUAGUGUUCAGUGCUGCUGCUGUGCUGGCAUCCUGGUACUGCUCGGUCCCCUUAGUGAUCUGCAGUAGCACUGGAUGGAUCCCAGUGUUUAGGAUGGAAACCUCAAACAACCUGUGAUUUUCUGUAUCCUUGAUGGUGAAAUCUGUUCCCACUCUAACAGUAAUUAGGGUCAAGCCUGAGCAGCCACAACUAUUGAGAAUCCUGUAGAUGAUUCAUCCACCUUGUUAACUCUCAUGAUUAUUAGAAUCUGUGCUCCAUAUUUAAUCUCAGCUGGUAACCUAUGGCAGGAAUCAUUUUCACAGUUAGAAAGCAAAGAAGAGAACUUGGCAACUGUGCCCACUAAAAAUCCUAAGUACCUUCUGAUCUAUGGGACCAUUUUGCUCUUCUCCAUCACAUGUGUAUAUUCCUGUGAUUUUAUAGGAUGUUCUGUCUCAGAGGUAUUUGAAAUUUGAUAGUGAAACCAAGUCAUUGGUACUCAUGCACAAUUUCUAACCGCAUAGUCCCCUACAGUCUAUAACAGCUGCAACGUAAGUGAAUCACUAAUGAUGAUAUCCCUAUUUGAAUGCAAAGUCUCCCUACUGACAUUUCCUCUGGGUUACCUAGCUCUGUAAGCCUGUGCUCUAUGAAUUCACUGGAGUCAUUUGGGCUGUGCUGAUGUGCACCAGUGGAGGACCUGACUCGCUCUCUGGUGGCUGCUGUGUGAGCAAUUCGUAUCUUUUGGGUUAAUGAUCCUGGACCUUUAUUCCUCUCUUCUUUCCUCUCAUUUUUUCAGACAUGCCACCUAUUACUUUGACAUUUCUCUGCGAUCCACAGAACACCAUGGCACUCUGCUGCUUUCUCUCUCCAGCUUUAUGUGGGAUAUGCUACUAGUACACAUCCUAGUUUGACAUCCAUAUGUUUGGGGAAUCAGGGCACUCUUUGGUGUCCAUGCCUCCCAGUAAAGGCUUUUACUGUAAGUGCAAUUACAGAACCACCUCUGGUAUGUAAGUUUUGCUCCAGAGGGAUGGACUAUAGAUCAGUUAGAGAGUCAGUUCACAGCAUAAUCAGGAAAUCGUAGGUUUUCUUUUCUUUCUUCAUCUUUGCUUCCUUAGCUAAUCGCUUUUCUCUCUUCAAACUUAUCCGCAGACUUCUAUUAUCUCACCCUGGACUUGGGAACCAGCAUCAAAAGAGCUCUCCCACCAGGUGGCAUUUUGUCACAUGUCCAGCGCUAAUUCUAACACGAACAAUUUGUACAUAAAAUUAUAAAACUGAGGGCCACUAAAGUGCACCUGUAGAGCAGAAACUUGACUGUUCGCGAUUCUGUUCUAAUUAUUGAGCCUUAGAGCAAAAAGUACGUUUCAAAGAAAACUUUCUGUACAGGCCUCAAUAGAGUUAAAGGAGAAACAUUUUAAGUUGAUGAGCUGACACUUGUAGAAGCAAAUAUAUUAAAUAAAUCAUGAUUCGUUUGGGGGCUAAAUCUGACUUACAUCAACUCUGGAAAAACUAGAUCCUAAUGAGUGACAGUUUGGUGUUUUCUGUCACUUCCUACAGUAAUGGCCCCAAGCUGACACCGCUCUGUGGGAGUCUAAUACUUCUGAACAAAAGUUUUUUUGGAGUGAGAUAGACAAGGUAGAAAUCCCAAGGUGACUGGAAGGAAUGUCUAAUGACUGGAAAGACAUAUUUACUGGCAGACUGUAUGUAAGCUGUGACAGUUGACAGGGCUUGAUUGUAAUAAAUAUAGUUGAUGAAGAGAAGGGUGACAGGUGAGGACAGAGAGAGAAAAAGAGUCAAAAGAUCUGCAUUGGCUGAACCCUAUUAAUGGUAAGUUGGUAACAAAGCCCAGAGUCAUAAAAGAAAACAGUUAUCGCAAACUGAUGUCUAAACAUUGAAAUGUGUGGGACCUACGGGUUGCUGUAACAAGCUCAGAUUUGUUGACCUUUCUUCUAGCUAUUUUAUAGGUGGUGUUUCUAGUUGUAUCUUACACCAGCAGCAGGCAGUAGCCGACAUUUUAAAAUAUCACCUGUGAUUAAUCACGUAACGGAGUAAACUCUGAUCAAGGUCAUAAUUAUUGCUUCGAUCUAUAACUUCCAUUGCUUUGACUGGGGGAUUUGAUGUAGGAAAAUGUGCCUCCAAGUGCUGUGAAGGAAGUAAUCUUCCUGGUGGUCUGUUCUGCUGAAAACAAAAUGAAUUCCUCUAAAAGAAAUUAAGCAACAAAAAACCUGAAAAUAUUUAUUUAAAUGCAGAGGCUCACUGCACACACACACACACACACACACACACACACACACACACACACGGAGUGAUUGACCCUGAAAAUGGAAACAACUCUGGCAUAUUAAAUUGUGACACUUUAUAACUGACUGGUCAGAGUUUCAACAAUAGGAUUUCCAAUGAGCUCUGCACUUUCUUCCCCCAGGCAAAUGUCACACACUGAAACUAAACAGGAUCUUUUUUUUCUUGUUCAUCCGACGUGCUGUUUUCUGUGCCCAAGAUACGAAUCUGUAUUUGAAAAUGCCUUAACCCUUUGGAAGGACAACCCUUCCUCUCUGUGCCCCAGGAGGGAGUUUUGCAGCAGAUGUGGGGGACGUUGCGUUGGCGUUGGCACCGAGGUCAUUCUGCAUGCUCGAUGCACUCCCACUGCAAAAGGUGCCAAGACAUAUUCAAAGUCAGUUCCUUGUCAAAAGAUGGAAACAGAGGACAAAGCAGGAACAAAAAUCUUCAUGGAGUGUAUCUCUUCUAUAUGGAAAUGUGACUUUGACCACUGCUUGCAUCAGGGUCAGGUUUUCACUUCAAUACUGCUGAAAAGGACACUAGUGGAUGGCUUUUUGCAACUGUUUUUUAAUGUGAAUAUAGGAUUAACACAGGAUGUUUUCUUUAAGUUAUGUGAUCUAAUCAAAAUACUGUUAAAAGUAAAAACUGAAGCUGAGUGUCAGGGAAAACUGUCUGAAAUUAAAUUCAUGAAGAAAGAUAGCUUCUGAGAAACAACUUUCCCAAGAGUGUAAUAAUCUUCUGAUUGUUGCAUAUGGCGCUAGAACCUUAAUAAAGGUUCUGAAGUCUAUGAGUCUCCAAAUGAGGAUAAGUAACUUUCUAGAAAAGCAUAGCUUUCCAGGUUUUGCAUAAAGUUUUCCUGCAGAAAUUGUUUAAUGUGUUUAGAUAUCUUCCUUUAGUUUAAACUAUCUCUACAAUUAUUUUAGAAGCUGAAAAAGAACAAACAAAAAAUCUCCUUUGUAGAAUUCAUGACUCAAACUAAAGCUACGACUAGAAGCAGAGCUUUGUGCGACCCCAAGCAUGACAUUAUGGACAUGCCACUUGUACUGACAUAAAGUUUACAGUUGUAUUUAGGUUGUUAAGAGGAAAAGUUUUUUUGCUUGCCACACUAAGUGGAGGUUCAUGCCCAAAACUUCAGAUACAAAACUCCUGUUUUGUCUUUUGCUAUUUGUUUGUAAAAGCUUGCCAAGUGCAUGACCCUCAUUAUGCACCUUGGUGUCAUAAUAACUGUGUGAGAACACCCUGCAAGUGCUUUGCUCCAAAGGAAGCUUCUGUGAGAAAGAGAAGCAAAUACAUGAUGCUGUAAUACUUUCAACAGACACUAUUGAGAGCUCUAUUUGAGGACUGAUGUGUCAGCUGCUCAUCAAUGCAACCUUAGUGUCAAAUACUUUGGGGAAGAUUUCAGAGGAAAGGGAGAAAGAGAAAAAGCGUGGGAGUAAGAAUAAUGGGCCAAAAUUAUUUCCAGUGUAGAUGUGCUGAAGCAAACUGUGGUUUCACUGAGGAGAAGUUUGCUCUGUUGUGUUCCAGGCUUCUCAUUUAGGUUGAUUACAUGGCAACACAGAAUUGAUUUCUUGAGCUUAGGACAGUUGGCAAACUUGACUAGACUUAAAAUGAACCUCUUUGAUUCUGUCUACAAAAUUAGAGCAGAUUUGAUAAAGUAAAGAUGUAUCCUUUGAAGUAUUCCCUAUCAACAUAAGUGCUAAGAACACUUGAGCGAAGGAAUUUUAACAGUUUUGAAAGCAGUAGCAAAAGAACUUCAAUAAGGAUUGCAGCUAAGGGCAUGCCCACAAGGCACUAUACUAACUGUAUCUAUCCUGCAGGCAAUAAGCAAUUGCUAAAGAUUCCAGACUUUUUAAAGUUCAUAGUUCAUCUCAUAAAAACUUUACAUGUAACUUAUGAUAGGAUUUUGCUGGAUGGGUUUGGCUUCCGCUACAUGACUGCAGAAGGAGGAGUCUGUAAGUUGAUCUGCAUAUAAGGACAUGAAGGAACUUUCCUUUUCUCUUGUAGCGAAUGAUGACUGAUGAUAGGUCAAUCUUGCAAGGUGCACAAGUGUGCUCAUGUCCUGUUAUAUUAGGUGUUACACUCAUGAAGGUGAUACACUUCCUCCAGGCACUUCAGCAGAUCAAGAAAAACACCAGCCCAAAUGCUUUGUUGAUCUAAGAUCACAUCACAGAAGAAAAUAGGGCUGUCCUUCACACUAUGGAUUUGUUAUGGGUGCUAGAUUUCAGGUACCCAUGCUGUCGUAAGUUAUUUUCCCUUGAGCAGGGAAACACUAUAAAGGACAAACAACAAUUUAAUGGUAAUUUCAGUUAGACCAGAUAUCUACUUGGCAACUCUGAUUCUGCUGGCCCAUCAACAACAAUGCUACCACUGCUGUGGGCAGUGUGUGUGUUGGGUAACCCAUUAUGGCCUUGAAAAUCUACCAUUAGCAAGGCAGAGCACAAAGGAAGGAAAGAACAGAUCUGGGCAGAAAUGAGAAGAAAACCAAAAAGGACGUUUUGAACUGCAAAGUUGCAGACACUAGGAAGUGAGUCACAAAACAACUUGGAUAUUUAAUUUGGGAAGUAGAGGAUAUUUAAUUAAAAAGCUUUUACUUUUCUAUGUGGAUUUCAUACUGGUGGUACUCGACAGAUUUCAGUGUGACCACAGCAAAUUAGUGGAAGCCACAGUUAUGGAAAUACAGAUUCUUAAACAUGAUCAUGUCACUGUGGCUUAAGGAACUACUGCGUGUCAGCUGAGCUGUGGGAAUUGACAUGUGUGUGCCCUUAGCUGGCCACAAGCACGAGUCUGUGAGUCAGUGUAAAUAUCUUUCAGUAACAUUUAAGCAAGCAUCUUUCAGCUCAUACUUGCAGUGGGUGAAGGAUAUGUACAGUUAGUUGUUGGUGAUCACCUGAUGAAUAGAAAGGAAUCAUUACACUGCAGUAACUCAAAAAUGUCUGACUCCUUAAACUAAAAAUGGGAGAAAUGUGUGUGAUGUUUUAGAUCACCUAGUAUUUUUUCCCGAAGUCAUGUGGUUCCCAAAUUCCCUUCACAGUUCUUCCCCAAAUCUGCUAUGAAGGCAUUACUUCUACAGUGACACAGAAAGUAAGAGAAUUAAAAGAGGCUGAGAGCAGAGAGUAGCUGAAAUGGUUUCAAGGAUAACAAAGUGUGAACGCAUGCUCUCCCCAUGAGCCUGAUCCAAAGGCAAUGGACUCACUAGGGUAGUUUUCUCUGUUGACUUCAAGACAUUUGGAAUCAUACCCAGCUUCUCAUGGUUUAAUGAAGAAAAUGUAGGCCAGGAAAACAUUUUCCUCAGACUUAUCAUUUUUCCUAGAUGGUAAGAGGUGCCUUAUAAAUGCCCACAAGAAUAAUUUGUAAUGGAAAUUAAUAAUUUUUGACCUUUAUGAUUUAACUACAUGAAACUUUACCUUUCUCAAUGCUGAAGCUUUGCUACUGAUUAGGUAUCACUCUGAAUUCACUGAAAGGUAAUAAAAACUGGCUGAUUAGACAACCCCAGGCACUGCAUCUUAAAGAGUUAUUAAACAAUCAUUAUAGAUAGAAACAGCUACAACUGGCUUCUGUUGAAACACUGCUUAUUAUUAUAUAAUCCUUUUUCAAGUCAAAAUGAAUGCAUAAUCAAAGCACAAAGCAAGCAGUUUGAAAGUUCUGAGCUGGCUGUGCAAAGCUAUAAUGCAUCAACGAACCUCUGAAUUAGUGCUCAAAACAGUAGAUGAUGAUAGAUGUACGGCAGAAAAAGAAAUGGAGGAAAAAGAUGGAUUCACAGGCAUAGUCAAACUAAGAGCUUCUUCCGAAAUCAUUUCAUGUAGAGCCCUACAGGAAACCAUGGCCUUUACAGCUUUCACCCAGAGGUGUUUGGGGUUAAGAAGAAAAGUUGAGUGCAUUUCUGUUGUGUCACAUGUCUAUUAUAGACAUUGCCAUUUGCAAGGAGUCACAUUAAACUUUGCAGCUGAAGACGUACAAACUUUGAGAUUAAUCUGGUUCAGAAACACUGUGAAUUGAUCCUUGCCCAAUAACAUUUCAGCUUUUAACAGACUCCUUAAUGAAAAUUCAUAAGAUCCUCUCCAGAUAAAUAAGGAUACAUUCUGAUCUUUAUUGUACUGGUAUGAAUUUGGAGCAACUUUGUUGAAACUAGUGGAAUUGCUCUGGAUUUACUAAUAGCAUAAAUAAGAACAAAAUGAAAAUGAGAGACUUUAAGAAGACUUAAGCCAUCAAUUCAGCUUUCUCAAUUGAGAAGGUUGCUUAUUAAGUUUAUAGUACAAAAUUUCUGUCUUCUUCCCUCUUUAUAAUAACAUCUUUUUUAACAGUUCUUACUAAAUCUGCAUGAAAUGAACUGCAUGAAAUAAAUGAUCAGGAUGUUUAAGUUUCCACCCUGUACCACCUGCAAAUUACAGGCCAGAUCCAUUUGCUUGAUUGAGGCAAGUAAGAGUCAUUACCACAUAGGUCAGCUGAUUUUUCCCUUCUUAAACACCUGCAAAUGCAAGUCACCUGGGACUUUGAACCUAUUAAGGUUCUCAUAAUUGAGACAAGGGUAAAAUAGUUUGUAAAAUGGUACAUGAACAGAAAGAUGAGAGGGGGAGAGAGAAAGACACUCUGGUUGGAUGACAGGAAAUCAUAUAACCAUAUUUGCAACUGAGCUUUGGGAGCAUGGUCUUUAUAAUGGGGUUAGCUAAUCUAGAUAGUAAUAAGGAUAGGAAAGUCAGCAAUCAUAAUCAUAUUUAAUGGAUUCCAGAUGGAGAAGUAUAAUUGUUCUCAUUAUCAUUGUGAAAACUCCAAGGAAAUACAAUCCCAAGAUACUUUACCUUGACAAGCAACGAGGAACAAUAUUGACAUCAAGCCAUGGGUUUUGUAGGAAGAGCUGUGUUGCUGUUUAUGCUUCACUGUUGGAUGACUCUCUAAGAACUGAAGAGGAGCAAUCAGGCUUAAAGCUCAACCCUUUGGAUGCUAUUGGCUGCCCAUCAGCACUGCAAAUUUUGGGUACUCUAGGUACCCAAACAGAAAGAUACUGGGAGUACCUCUGAGGAUGGGCAUCCUCAUGUACCAUGAGCGUUCCCCUACUGAGGUGGGUCUCCAGGCUGGCAUGUGCCCCCAGAAACAAGUCACUGUGAAGCACCACAAGUAGAGGUGAUCUGAGGCUUUUUAACUCUGCAAACAAGAACAUACCAUGCAGCCAGCAUCCUCAGGCACUGCUGUCCCCACAGAGCUCCCAGACAAUGAGAGGAGGUAACAAGGACCUGGGGGGAUAGAGUUGGGCACAGGUGAGGAUUGUUGGGACACAUGAGGAGGGGAAGAAUUCACAGUACUGCAGAGAGAGCAGAAGGAUAGCACUGGGAGGGAUAUUUUCUUUCUUUCUUUCUAUAUUUUAGGCCCCACAACCCCUUCAAAUCCCACCACUGCCAAGUUUAGACAUUGAGUCCCUGGAGCAUGUCCAAGAAGGGCAAUGGAGCUGGUGUCUAGAGCACAAGUCUUCCGGGGAGCUGCUGAGGGGGACUGGGAUUGUUUGGUCUGGAGAAGAGGAGGCUCAAAGGAGACCUUAUGACUCUCUACAACUCCCUGAAAGGAGAUGGUAGUGAGUGAGAAAUACAUGCUUUUGGUUCCAGAAGAGAAAAUGAUCACAACAUCGGGAUUUCCCAAAGGACAGAAAUUCUGGUCCAUCCAUUUCAUCCCAUGAGGGGCUCUUGUUCAUGACUAGGAAAUGUGGACUUGUUCCAAGUGCAGAACAGGCUCCAAAAGUCCCAAACCACCAGAAGCUCCCAAAGCCCCAAGAGCUCACAAUCAAAGUAAAAGGCAGGGGGCAACAGAUGGACGGAGACAGAUGGAGAACCACAAAGAAACCUGGAGACACAACAGAGACAAAAGCUUGGAGAAAUUGUUACCAGAACAUGGUUAAAAGUAAAAAUAGCCUUGUUUACAACUAGUACCUGUUGCAUUGAAGAUUUCUAGCUCAACCUACUUAGUAAGACUUCUUCCAGCUGGAUUCUCAGUGAUGAAUAGGCAGUGAAAAUGUGGCCACAGAGCCCAGGAGAAGAGAUGGUACUUUCUUCUUUAGGACUUUAUCUGUAUAACCUCAUCAUACAGGACCGUUGAGAGUCAAACUCCAGCAUCUAAUGAGUCUCCACACAAAUGUGUAGCAUUGAAACCAAAUGGAAACAUCCAUCUGUGGAGGAGAUAGCUAUUGCAUUUUGCCCCACCUUUCCACAGCUUAUAUGAUCACAGAGAAGAGUGGCUUGGAAAUGGCAGCACUGUCUUGUGAUCCAGGGGGGGUGAAAUCAAUUCUUCUCUAUGGCAUAGAUUUCCUUGGCAAAUCACCUGUUUCUCAGAGUGGAGGAAAAAUUUUGGUCUUUUUCUACUUUGCUAAGUGGAAGGUCAAGUGGUUAUUUAAGACUCUGAAUGAAUGAUGUGUGACAUAAAAUAACAAAGAUACAAUAAAUACAAUUUAUCUUGUUCUAUGGCUUCUGCAAUACGAUUAACUGAAAUACUGUAGUUAAUGUGUAAUUAAUGAGUGGAUGGGCUGUUGCCAGCUAUGUACAUGUUUGAUAUCAGCAAUAUUUUAAAGUAAAUGAAAUUAAUAAUGAAGCCUUUUUGACAAAUUUGUAUCUUGAUAGUGCAGAGUUCCCCCCCUCAUUCAGCCAUCAGCUAUCCCUUAUUUGAAGAGCUGAACCAGCUUGACUGGGUCAAUGCCUUUUCUCUUGGUCCCUUCCAGUUUUCAGAGGACUUUCCAUCUGGUUUCUCUGGUGGUUCCUCCUAUUAUUUUUUGUGUGCAUGCUUGGGUAUUUGCAAAGCUUACCAGGAGGACCCUCUUGUUAUGAGCAACCACUUUAAAGCAUCCCCCUGCUUCUCGGUACUUUGCUUGACAUGUAGUUAAAACAAAUUUCCACCUGGCAACUGUUCCUUUCUUCUUUUUUUUUUUUUUUCUUUUUCCAGUCCUAUGAGUGAGCACUCAAGACAGAUUUCAUUUCCUUUAAUUGCUCCCAACCUGUACCACUCGCUGCAGUUGGGCCUGAGGAAAAGCAUUCAAGGCAGCAAUCUCCAGGCCUUUAAAAUUACCCAUUCUCAUUUUCACGUUAACCCUUCAGUUCUCUGCACACAGGUUGUGGCAUUUGGCAACCCACCACCUGGUGUGAAUUUUGCUAUGGCAGGAUGAGGUUCCAAGCCAUCAUCUGCACUUAUAUUUUAACUCUUAAACUCCCAAUAGAUUAUUACGUGCCUGGAAAUGAAUAUGCUCACUGCAGCCUCUUUUUUUACCCUUGGUAUCUACAUUAUUCCCUUACUUUUCCUCUGCUUUUAUGAUAGACUCCCUCAGGUCUCCUCCUCUUUAGCGUAUUUUCUACCAGGACCUGCAGUCCCUCUGUACUUCAAAGCCACCAUGCCUCCCCAGCGAACCUAACCCCUGAACCCCACCUGUUUUCAGGCCAUUUUAAUUCUUAACUACUACCACAGCAAUCAACCUCAUUUGCUUUUCUUCCUGACGCACAAAGACAUGGGCCCAUGUCAAUAGGGGGUGUGCUUUAGGCAUGCAGGCUUGGCAAGGAACCAGCUCCCCUUACUGUGAGUAGACAAGGGUCAUUUAAUUUAUCUGUAAUUCUGUAGUCUAUCAGUGCCCACCCCAUCACUCCAUGCCCUCCCUGGCUCACAGACCAGAGUACCAGAAACCAGCUUCCCUGCAAGCCUGAAUCCCAGACUGAACAGAACCACGCAGAGGAAAAGGAGUCAUUUUCCAAAGGCUUCCAGCAGCACUGACCUAACAAGACAGGAUAAAACAUGGGCUAUGGCGCAGAUGGCUGAAUUAGAUGUUCUAGAAGCUACCUAAGUCUCUUAGGAAGUCUGCAGGAAGCAGAAUACACACAUUCACCAAUCCCAGCCUUGUGUCUUAACUACCCUCAGGCUUCAUCAGUUGAAUUUAUCUUGACUCAGCUUCACAGUUGGAAGGAUCAGCUGGGAAGGGCUGUAAGUCAUGUGUUCCUUGGUUUGUGAGGUGCAAUUCAGAUACUGGAGGAAUCAUCCACAAAAAAUUGAUGUUUAGCCCCAGAAGGCAGGCUCUUCUCAUAAGCAAAGCCUUCAUAGAAGAAGGACAAGUCAUGUCCCUUCUCUGGUGCAGGUCUUACCUGCAGAUGGGGAGGGAUGCAGGAAACCAUCUAGUGAGGUGAAUUAAAAUCAUAAGCUGCACAGGCAGAGACAUGAGGAAGAACCGCUUAAGUAGUUCUUUGCUUAAUAUUAUGUUCAUAUUUGUGGGAUAAAAUGGAUUUUUAAAGAAUCUGUUUACAAUUGGAUGAAUUAUAUAUAUAUACCCAUUAUGUAAUUGAAUACCAACAUAAUCUUCCAUAAUGACAGGCAGAAGCCUUCUAAUGUUUGGGACGGGACUGCUGUUUUCUUCUUGCUUGCCUAUCUUUCAGAUCCAUUGUUUUGCAGUUCUUUACAUGAUGCUUCCUUUCUUCCUUCUUUGAAAUUCAUCCAUGCUAACUGGCUGUAUUUAUUAUUAUGCUCCCUUGAAAAUAUCUUUCCUUUAUUACUUAUGUCUUGAUAGCAUUCCAAGCAUGCCAUGCUGCAGUGCUUUUUUUUCUUGCUGUUGCAAGUUUAAGCCUCUCGAUCUAGUCUUGUACCUCCACCAGUCCAAAAAUGGGAUAUAACUAUCUCUAUGCAAGGUGAAACAAAUGUCUUCAGAGGACAAAGAAGAACUAUAGUGAGGCUGCUUACAGGCUUAGAAGGGAUUUUUCCCUUCAGUGAUUAGAAAGAACAAGAAAAGAAACUCAUACGAGUAAGCAUUUGUUAGUUCAGUUCCUGAAUCAAAUACCCCAUUGAUUUUUAGUAUCAUUUGAUGCAAAAAUUGAUAUAUUUUUUUCUUUUAAACAUGUUUCUGCUGGAAAUUUUACUGCUCGUGUGAGUGUUCUAGUUUAUUCUUGUUUGUUUGUUUGUGCCUUGGCAAUACGGCACAAUAUUCAGAUAAAAAAUAUUAUUCUGUGAAUUAGCGAUAUGUUUAAUACUGAAGGCAUUCUUCAUCUGCCUUUCAGACACUGGUAUAUGGAGUUUGUUUGUAGAAGGGCAGUCUUGUGGAUUGGCUUUAUGGGGGGGGGGAUGCUUCUCUUUUCAAUAUUACAAAAAACAUCUCAUUUUGUGAAAAAACCACAAACUCCUUGAGAAGCAGAGAGGCUUUCAUUUCAGAACUGAACUGCUUCUGUCCACUUUUCUUGGAAAAUCGUCAAGGAGUCUCCAGAUCUUGAAUGUUGAUGUUUGCAAUCUCCUGUAAAAGAAAAUACCCCUUCCCCUCAUCUUCUCAAAUGGUGAAUUAUUAUAUACAUAUUUGAAUGUUCACAUUUUGGUGGAUGGCUGACCACAAUAUGCCCUGCAAGAAAUUAUGAGCCUUUUCCUAACUUCAGCUUCACAAAGUCACGUUAAACAUUUUCUCGCAGCGUUCAUUAAUAGCACGAGCAGGUUUAUUCCACGACUGGGGAUUUGUUUCGCCAUGGGCUAAAUUAGAUUGGCCACAUGUGGUGCUCAGAGUGCCACAGUGGGGUCCAUGUAACACCCUCUACAUGUAACACCACUCUGCUGGAAAACAAGGGAGGGGGAAGAGGGAAGGUUUGGAAGAGUCGAUAAUUUUGCAGUUUAGCUCAGUUUCUGGUGGCGGUUGUUGUUGUUGUUUUGAGUUGUGUGUACUACGUUUGAAGAGAAAGCUAGGACUGGUUGGAGCCUUAGUAAGAAAUAAAAAAAUUGGAGGUGAAAGGGCUCACUGAUAAAAGAGCUGCUUUCAUUUACUGCUCCAGGCAUCUGCUGUAAAGGAGCCAAAGCGAAUGUGCGAGCAUCAGAGACAGUCACAGGAGGGAGGAGGCAACAGUCAGAGCUGUGAGUAACUGUACAUAAACAUAAUUUAAAUCAAAACAGCUGAAUUACAAUUUAGGACAUAAAAGGAAAGAGAAAAGGUGGAAUGAAGUAAAGAAAAACAAACCCCACAAAUCGACCACAGUCAAACGAGUGGGGAACGCAGAGGAGCAGCAAAUGGAAGGCAAAAAAAUCAGCAAAGCCAUCAGGGUGCAGUGGUUCAUUCCUGUGGUACCCUGUGGUUCCCAGCUCAAUUACUCAAUCAGGUCUCCUGCUUUCCAGGCCAAGAGGAGCCCUGAAGUACCAAAUCUUGCCUUCAGGCUUCUCAUUUUCAAACACAAGGCUCUUUCCAGCUCAGCCUCCCCAUGCCCACCUCUUUAUGCUGCUCCGUGCCACCUCACAGCCCUGCUGCUCCCAGGAGUGCAUUAGCACUCGUCAUCUCGCCAUCUCAUGUCACUGCUGCUGUCUUGUUCUGUGUUCACACAGCUCCUUUUACAAAGGAGUUUUCAUCCACAAUUAAGGCUCCUAAGCCCUAACACAACAGCCACUGAUGCUCCACAGCCACUGGGGCUUUUGUGUCUCCUGCCUUUUCUCAAUCCCACCCAGUGUCGCUGGCUGGUGUCCCUACAAACAAGUACAAAUCUGGAUUUAUAAUCCUAUUAAAUAUUUGGCCUUGAUGAUACCAUGUGGCAAUGAGUGCCACUGAUGACUCAAUUUUAAAUGUGUUUUCCUGACAUUCUAAUUAAAUGGGGAGAGCAAGAAGAACAUUGCCAGGUCAAUGUGGCUAAGGGAGAAUGUUGUUGAUGGGCAUCACAAAGACUAAUUGACCAUUCCUUCAAGUCCGAGAGACGUUGCUGUGAUGGAACAAAGACCUGUCUUUGUUCAGUGGCCAGAGGAGAAUGGCAAGAGCAGAAGAAAACAGUAGGAUAGAAGGUGUCUCAAACAGAGGCUGUUGCCCCAUACUUCUGAGGAUGUUAUUAACGGCUCUGCCUGCAGUAGACCUUUCGGGAAACGCCUCGCUGGCUCCACUGCUGAAACCUCCAUUGUGCCUGGAAGAAUGAGGGUUUAAACCUUUCCCCAGAUACUUGGGUUUUGCUUUCUCAUUCAUGCAAACUUAGCUUUGCUUGCACGUUGGGCAUGUUUCAUUUCUCAGGAUAAAAUAUGAGAAAAUGCUAAGAAACAAAAUAAUCCUCGCUCCUUUAGGAAAGGCCCAGUUAUUUCCCUCACUGAUCCAUAUGUCCAAUUAGUCCAUAAAGAGUUCCUCUCAGCUACUUUGAUAUACCAUUUUCCAGCUUUAGCAACAUCUGAGCCAUCUGAUGUGUGUGUGUGUGUGUGAGCACGCAGCAAGAUGAGGACGUGCGACAAUAUUUUUUCUACAGCAGAAAUGUGUAUAUUUCUUCAUGCAUACAUAAUUAAAAAUGGUUGAAAGCGACUUUGAUUAAGCUUCCUCAAGAAUUCAAACUAAUGUUAAUCAUAUUUCAGGAGCGAUCAUGCAAUAAUAUUUUUAGCCAAAAAAUAAGGGAGGCUGUUUGUCUUGUGGCUGGAAACAUUUUGCAGUUCUUACUUCAGCUCAUCCUAACAAGUGACCACUGUUGAGCAGUUACUAGGAUAAAUAGUGCAUAAUAGCAAGGACAGAGAGAAAUGAAGAGUCAUAGAAAAGGGAGGAGAAUCUUGUUUCAUCUCAGAUUUGAAACAACACAGAGGCCAAAAUCAGCAGGGUGGGAAGUCUGUUCCAGAUGGCAGAGCUGCAGAAGUUGCACCAACAGUAGCCAACUUGUGGGAAGAGGCAGAGAGAAAUAAUACGGUUUCAUCCAACAAAGUAUCAGGUAAUAUAAGAGAGGGACUGAACAGUGCCAGAGCUCUGACUGAUGCUUCCUGAAGGGGAUAGUCCUGCAAUAAUUGGGAGGGUCACAGUGACUCAGAAACCAUGCGCUGCAGGGGAGCUGGGGCGGCAAGGGGGGUUAAUACUUUUUUCCUAGAUGCAGCACUGAGUCAUAAAGCCUUACCCUUUUCUUUCUUUUUUUUUUUUCCCCUUCGGGCUGUUCUGUUAAGUAAAAAUGAUGUGGUAUGUUCUUUUUCCAGAAGCUUUUGAGAUUUUACAUUUUGGAGAGUCAUCUCCAAAUGGAUAUUGGGGAAUUUUGGAUGUCGGGGGAAGUUCUUUACAGAGAGAGUGGUCAUGUGCUGGAACAGGCUGCCCGGAGAGGCUCUGAGUGCUCUGUCCUUGGAGGUGUUCAAGGCCAGAUUGGAUGGGGCCUUGGGCAUCCUGGUCUAGUACCAGAUCAGGAGGUUUGUGGCCCUGACUGUGGUAGGGGGUUGGAACUUGAUGAUCCUCGGUGUCCCUUCCAACCCAAGGCAUUCUAUGAUUCUAUGAUGUCACAGAGCCCAGAAGACACGCCCUCAUCGGUGGGACACCAUGUCCUCAGGCAGCUCUAUUGUCUCUUAUAGAAUCCUUAAAGUUGGGAAGACCACAAAGAUAAUCUAGCCCAACCAUUAACCCUGGGGCCUGUGACUGCUCCAGACCAUGUCGCUCAGUGAUAUCUACCCUUUUCUUGAACACCUUCAGGGACAUUUCUUAUGCAGAAGAUGCCAAAAGUAAUUGAGAAUCUCCCACACAUCACACUGGCUGCCAGCACAGAGCAAGUGGAGAACAUCUCAUGGUCCUUGAUGCGGAUUUUAGAAAUGCAUCAAACCUGAGGUUUUUCAAGGUCCACACUUGCAGACAGGACCCAGCUGGCACUGCCAGAUGUUGGGCUCUCAACCCAGCCUGGCAUUUUGUAGGGACGGCUGUCAACCAAAAUUUAUGGCUGAGCACUGCAUAAGUAGGACUAACACGAAGAGACCCCACUCCACAUUUGGCUUGUGGUUAGAAAUGAGCUCAUCUCAAGAUUCAUUUCCGAGCUUGAAUUAGGAUGAGGUUUGGGCUUGGAGCUGGCAAUCCAGGAGCCACUGUUCAAUGAUUUCAGCUGCAAGAUAUUAAAAUCAUUUGCAUUCAGAAAGAACCUUCCUAGUAUUUUGCCAUGUUUCUUAGAAACUAGUUUGAUUGUUGGAAUUGAAACAGUUAAGUCAUUCGGGUUUUGCUGAUCUGACUUUGAUUUCACAUGAUUUUAGAGCAGCUUGUAUAUAAAUGCUAGCUUUUAAUGAUGCAAGGCCUUAACAGUUGGUUUAAAAACUGAACAAUGAACAUGCCGAUUAACUUGCCACAGAAGACACACACAUUGAGUCUCCACUGGUUAUUUGGCAACAUCGUGAAUACUUUCUUCAAACUGAUUUCAUGACUACACACAGUCUGGAAUAGCAACCAAUCCUUCAGACAAAAAAGUAGUUUUUAGGACUUUGGUCUUCUUAUUGUUCACAUUGUUCCCCAAAAUUCUGUUCAGCUUUUGGCCUACAUUUUUCAUGAGGAAAAUAAAUAAAUAAAUGCUUUUUUGGAUGAUGCUGAGAUCUUAAAAAGUCCUGCUAAACUUUCUGGUUUUAAUUUCCUUAAUCUGAAAAUAAUUUUAAUUUGUAAUUCAGAACUUAAAUCACCUGAUCAGUUUUUAUUUUCCAUUUUCCCAAAUUCAAGCAGCUUUAUUCGGUGCAAGAUGAUACUUUUUGACUAAUCGGUCAAUUAAAAGCAUCAUUUUUCUAUAUGCCCAACAGGAAGAAAUAGAAUGAAUGUUCAAAAUGUUCAGUGACCUGAAAAAAUCUAUUUUGUACCAGCUCUGUUCAUCGAGCUUUAAAACCAGGGCUGUCAGUGGGAGGACCCCAAAGGAAUCUCACCCAAUUGAACUGAAUGGACCACUGUGUUCUUAAGGGGCCAGUCAUCUUCCAAGCAGAUUUUUUGUACAUCACUCCCAAUUUAAGAAGCAUGCAAACAUGCAGCUGAUAGCAAUCUUUGACUGAAGUGUGUGUAGGAAAGAAGCAGAAACCUUGCUGCUCUUGAUCAGAUAUAUUUUUAAGGCCAUGGUGUAUUUUCCAAUAACUGUGCAGAAUUUAGCGUUGUCAUCUCAGGAAAAUUUGAGAGGAACAAGGUUAUUUUUAAAAAAGCAACAAACAGAAGAGGUUGACAGAUGAACUGCAGUUGCUGAAGGGACCUCCAAAGCUUUACAAGCCUUUCUCCUUACCAUUUACCUCCUCCGUUCUACCUUCUUUUGCAAAAAAUGAUACUUUGCUGGUCUAUAUUUUUACUGUUGUGGGCAGAAUGUCUAUAAACUGAUCUUUAUAAAUCCCAGUAGAACGUCCAUAUUAUAUCCUGCAGGUUUUUCUAAGUUUAUACAAUACCAGCACAGUCCACCUUGGCAAAUGGACCUCCCUGAACCUAAAGGUUGUGCCCCUGGGCUUCUGAUCACUGAACAUGUGACAAAUCUUUGAAGAGAAAUGGAGCUGGUGACACCAGGUGGCACACUGAGAAGGGCUUUAAGAGGAGCUGUGCACACAGGGCUGGGGGCACUCUCUCCUCUUUUUUGAAUCGUUGGCUGAGUUGAACAACAUUUCAGGCUAACCUGAGUUCUCUCCUUCUUGUUGCCUCAGAAUGAAUCAGAUACGUCAAACUAGAAGAGGAUUUCAUUUCAGGUUGAAAUAUAUAUACAUUUCAGUUAUUUUUCUGCUCCUGUUGUUGUUUUUAACCCUCUUAAAAGGGAACUUGAAUUCAGUUUCUGAAUUAGAAGUUCCUUCCAAAUGAAAAAUCCAAGCAUUUAUUUCAGGAAAGGCAAAGGGAAAUGCAUUAAACAUUCAUUUCAAAUUUGACCUAAUUUGAUUUGCUGAACCUAACAUUGAUUCAUCAGCACCUUUCCUUGGCUUGGAAAGGAGCUCUUCCCAGCACGUUGCACAGAGCCCUCCCUUCAGAGAUGCUGAAAUGUCAGGUUGUGCUCAGCCCGAUGCUCUCGGUGCCAUCUCACGCCCACUGGCAAAUGGUGAUGGACGGCACAUGUCAGGUGUCAGGGCACACAACAUGGCCUAAGUGGGUAUUCAGUGACCGCAUGGUCAAGGUGUUUUGCUGGUGUGGUGGCCCCAGGGCAUUCCUGUGCAGUCACUGGCCACAGCACCUGUUGUGAUGCCUUCCUUGGCUCAUGUCACUCCUUGGCUCUUCUUUACCCUGAUGGUGCCAAUGAGUUCGUGCUGAGUCCCAGGAGCUCCAUUUCUAUAGCACACCAAGGAAACUACGGUAAUACAAGACACCUCUGUCUGCUGACAUGACUCACAGAAACAUAGACUGGCUAAGGUUGGAGCGGACCUUAAAGAUCAUCUAGUUCCAACCCACUGCCAGGGGCAGGGUUGCCAACCACCAGAUCAGGCUGCCUAGGAUCCCACCCAACCUAGCCUUGCAUGCCUCCAGGGACAUACUCAUCCUGCAGCACCACUCUCUUCAUGUGCUCAAGGGCAGCUUUUGUGCAAGCAGGCUUCUGACAUUUGUCACAUAUAAAACAUGAGAACCAUUCAAGGGGUGCAAAUUUUGCUAUGACCAUCUCUUCUAGUAUGAAACUUGUGACAUAGAGGUGGCUGUAUCUACCUGUCAGCCUCCACCCCUGCCAGGCAUUUUUUACUGCUGACUCUCCUAUUUUUUGUCGUGCUCUCUGCUUGUUGUCUGAGAUGAGAUGAAAGAUUUUUAAUAGUGAUGGCAUACAGCUCUAGAGACAAAAGGGCCUAUUCUUUUCUUAUCUUGGAUGUGUUAAAAACACUCUACCUUCAUCCCACUAUGUUCAAAAGGAGACAAAAAGUGAAAUGAAGUGAACAAUUUUUCAGCACCAUUAAUAAAACAACCCCAAAUGAUAUAAAAUAGCCUUGCUUUCCAGCUCCUUGUUUCACAUGACAAAUACUGUACCCACGAGCUUUGCCUUCUCUCUUGAAGAGAGAGAAAACCUUCAGAACUUUUUCUGGGCUCUCAAACUUCCAGCGCGGUUCGUAGGGACUGUAAUUUAGCCCCAGGCAUUUGAGAAUCUACUUUGUGUGUUUUGGCAAUGACAUGAAAAUGCAGAGAGAACUGUACAUCUUGCAGUUGUAUGCUGAGCUAGGCGAUCUAAGGGGCCUGUCUAUAAUAGAGGAAUCAUCUUUUCUUCAAUGAAGUGCUACUAUUGUUGUGAUCUUCAAUAAAGGAUAUAAUGGAUGCAUUCAUGUGGUGGCUGUUGUUUGUGUGUCAUUCUUUCAGCGUACGGCUAAGCGCACAAGAGUCUUUUAAACUCUUCUCUACUCAGAUCCAGUAGUGCUAGUAUUUUGUGCCAAACUAGGUUGGUUUUCUCCCUGCAAGCUUUUUUUCCUAUUAUUUUUGGAUAAAGCCAAUUGACCAUGAAAUACCUCUUUAUUGCAAAAUGAUAUCUCGAAGCCCUUACUGUGGGAUCAUGGGUCAAAACAGCGGCAUAAUGCCCAUUUGCGUGGAGGUGCUGGUCGCUUAAAUAUCCAGCUUUCUAGAACCAGUCACUUUGGCCCAUCGUAGGCGCAUUAAGAAGUUGAUAUUUAUUUAGGGUCAGAAGUAGUAGUCAAAGCUUUAUGCUACAAUUGUAUCAAUAGCUAUUUUUUAUACAAGAAGUUCAAACUAAAGUUAAGACUUUCAUGUGAGUAAACAACAUCCCCAGGCCUUAGAAGGGUGACCUGAAUAAAGCCAUUUCCUUCUGUUUGAUUACAGUACAGGGCAGGGGAGAGAUUUUCACAGACAAAAGGUAAUAAUUGUGUCGGGAAAGGCAGAAAUUUGCAUGAAUCUACAGAGCAAUGGCAUGAGCAAAGAGCAUCUCAGCACGCAAGGUCUUUGCGCACUUAUCACAGAUGCAGUCCAAAAUGUGUCAGAUAGCUGGCUCUGAACUGGGGUCCAGGCUUUGAGGAAGGGUGCUACGCAAGAGGGUAGGCAGCAGUGCCCAAAGUGAGGCUCUCACAGGCCAUGAGAGGAUGCUAAUUUUUCAACCAUACCGCAACAGUUUUAGAAGAGGGGAAGGGGAGGAAAUGUUGCCUUGAAUCUACUCUAAAGAAUUUACGUGAAUCAAUAGGCCUACGUUUAAAUAAGUUUAGAUGUAAUUAUCCGUUACAAAUCUGGUUUUCUGCCUUGUUAGCCGGAGAUCCUAGGCACUUUCAUUUAAAAUUUGUUCCAAUCUCAACCUCAUUUAACUACACAAUGAGAACAGUUUAGGUGAAGAGAAAAAAAAAAAAAACAGGAAAAAAAAGAACAACACAAAACCUUCCAACAUCUUUUCUUUUUAGGUGAGUUGAAAAGGAUGAGCACCUAGCAAGGUUUUUUCUCAAGUCACUUUUUAAAGAUUGUUAUUAUCUUUUCAUAUUAAAGUUAACAUUACCAUAUGCUGUUGAGCUUUUGUUGAUGGCGAUGCUUAAACUGGGAUGUUGUUUCCUUUGGAGAUUCUUACUGCCAGUCAUUAAUUUACAUUUUUUUGAAAUCAUACAGCGAGUGCUUUGUUGAUGCCUGUUUUCAUUUUGUUUCUCUCUC